GACGAACGCUGGCGGCGUGCCUAAUACAUGCAAGUUGAGCGCUGAAGGUUGGUACUUGUACCGACUGGAUGAGCAGCGAACGGGUGAGUAACGCGUGGGGAAUCUGCCUUUGAGCGGGGGACAACAUUUGGAAACGAAUGCUAAUACCGCAUAAAAACUUUAAACACAAGUUUUAAGUUUGAAAGAUGCAAUUGCAUCACUCAAAGAUGAUCCCGCGUUGUAUUAGCUAGUUGGUGAGGUAAAGGCUCACCAAGGCGAUGAUACAUAGCCGACCUGAGAGGGUGAUCGGCCACAUUGGGACUGAGACCCGGCCCCAACUCCCACGGGAGGCAGCAGUAGGGGAUCUUCGGCCAUGGACGGAAGUCUGAACGAGCAACGCCGGGGGAGUGAAGGAGGUUUUCGGAUCGUAAAACUCUGUUGGUAGAGAAGAAAGUUGGUGAGAGUGGAAAGCUCAUCAAGUGACGGUAACUACUCAGAAAGGGACGGCUAACUACGUG
rnacentral:rRNA from 1 species